GGAUGCGAUCAUACCAGCACUAAAGCACCGGAUCCCAUCAGAACUCCGAAGUUAAGCGUGCUUGUGCGAGAGUAGUACUAGGAUGGGUGACCUCCUGGUAAGUCCUCGUGUUGCAUUCC
rnacentral:rRNA from 16 species